CACGUAGGCACCAAGCGUUGUCCGGAUUUAUUGGGCGUAAAGAGCUCGUAGGCGGUUCGGUAAGUCGGGUGUGAAAUCUCUGGGCUCAACCCAGAGGGGCCACCCGAUACUGCUGUGACUAGAGUGCGGUAGGGGAGUGGGGAAUUCCUGGUGUAGCGGUGAAAUGCGCAGAUAUCAGGAGGAACACCAGUGGCGAAGGCGCCACUCUGGGCCGUAACUGACGCUGAGGAGCGAAAGCGUGGGGAGCGAACAGG
rnacentral:rRNA from 1 species